AUGUCCACUUUCCACAUCACAGCUCUCAACUUGUCGAAGGGGACUCUUAGAAAGAUCGACAAAAUCAUUCAGGCCUUCAUCUGGCAAAAAGAAGACCAAACUCAGACCUCGGGAGGCCACUCCCUUGUUAACUGGAAGACAGUCUGCCGCCCAAGGCAUUUGGGCGGCCUAGGGAUCAUGGACCUGCAGAGAUUUAGCCGUGCCCUGCGCCUACGGUGGCCGUGGUUGCAAUGGACUGACCCAGAAAGGCCAUGGGUGGGAUCAGAGCUGCCGUGUGACCAAUCAGACAUGAGCCUCUUCCGCGCAUGUACCUCUAUUACGCUGGGCAACGGGCAGAAGACUUUGUUCUGGCAUGACAAUUGGACUGGUGAAGGUCUGCUCAAGCUCCUAGCUCCAGAGCUCUACAAGAUUGCCUCAAGAAAAAACAGAUCGGUGCACAACGAGCUCAUGAACGAGAACUGGAUUAGGGCGGUGGCCAGACUGCAGACCAUUCAGCAGCUAGGUGAAUUCGUGUCUCUCUCGAACCACAUUAGUCAGAUCACCCUCCUCCCUGACCAAGAAGACACCAUUCGUUGGAACUUAACCACCUCGGGGACUUACUCGGCCGCCUCUGCCUACGGCGCGCAGUUCUUCGGCUCCUACUCACGUUUUGACACGACCAAGGUCUAG
rnacentral:rRNA from 1 species